rnacentral:rRNA from 1 species
AGAGUUUGAUCCUGGCUCAGGAUGAACGCUAGCGGCAGGCCUAAUACAUGCAAGUCGAGGGGCAGCACGUCUUCGGAUGGUGGCGACCGGCGCACGGGUGCGUAACGCGUAUGCAACCUACCUACUACAGGGGGAUAGCUUCCGGAAACGGAAAUUAAUACCCCAUAAUAUAUAUGAGUCACAUGGUUUAUAUAUUAAAGCUUUGGCGGUAGUAGAUGGGCAUGCGUCUGAUUAGCUAGUUGGUAGUGUAAUGGACUACCAAGGCAACGAUCAGUAGGGGUUCUGAGAGGAUGAUCCCCCACACUGGUACUGAGAUACGGACCAGACUCCUACGGGAGGCAGCAGUAGGGAAUAUUGGGCAAUGGGCGAGAGCCUGACCCAGCCAUGCCGCGUGCAGGAUGACGGCCUUCUAGGUUGUAAACUGCUUUUGUACAGGAAGAACAUGCUAUUGCGAUAGUAACUGACGGUACUGUACGAAUAAGCACCGGCUAACUCCGUGCCAGCAGCCGCGGUAAUACGGAGGGUGCAAGCGUUGUCCGGAUUUAUUGGGUUUAAAGGGUGCGUAGGCGGCCAAUUAAGUCAGUGGUGAAAGCCUAUAGCUUAACUAUAGAAUUGCCAUUGAUACUGGUUGGCUUGAGUUCGAU